rnacentral:tRNA from 1 species
GCGAAAGUGGCGGAAUUGGUAGACGCGCUGGACUUAGAAUCCAGUGAGAGAUGAUCUCGUAGGGGUUCGAGUCCCCUCUUUCGCACCA